CCUGCCACCAUGCCCAGCUAAUUUUGUAUUUUUAGUAGAGAUGGGGUUUCACCGUGUUGAAGGUUCACCGUGUUGAGGUCAGAUGGGGAUCACCUGACCUCAGGUGAUCCACCCACCUCGGCCUCCCAAAGUGCUGGGAUUACAGGUGUGAGCCACCGUGCCCGGCCUAUUGUACAAGUCUUUAACAAACACUGUUUUUAUAUUUCUACUGGAUCCCAUGCUUGGCAUCGGGUUCCAACUGAAAAAAAGUCAUGGAGGUGUUAGGUGUUUGAAUUCUGUCUUUCUUAUUUUAUUAGGUACCUGGAAGGUGAAACUGGCCUGAUGCUGUGAUGGUCUAAAUUUGGAUAGUGAAUUUCCUUUGCUAACACUAAUAAGAAAUAGCACCAAGAAGAAGGGCUUUCAUGUUUGUUCCCUUCCUCCCCAGGGCCUCUGGAGGAGCCUAAGGUGAUCUCCGCCUACUCUGGAAAGCAGGCCAGGAAGGACGUGGUGCACAUCGCUUGUGGGAGCACUUACAGUGCGGCCAUCACUGCCACGGGGGAGCUGUACACCUGGGGCCGUGGGAACUAUGGCUGGCUGGGCCACGGUAUGUCUGUUCUGCAUGAGUAGGAGCAUGCAGCAGGAGGUGGCCUCUUACAGGACUUAGUAACGGCCGUCCUAUCUGUUUGAAGGCUCCAGUGAGGACGAGGCCAUUCCGAUGCUGGUAGCUGGGCUUAAAGGACUGAAGGUCAUCGAUGUGGUGUGUGGGAGUGGGGAUGUUCAAACCCUGCUGUCACUGAGAACGGGCAAGUGUGGUCUUGGGGAGAUGGUGACUAUGGGAAAUUGGGCAGAGGUGGUAGUGAUGGCUGCAAAACCCCAAAGCUGAUUGAAAAGCUUCAAGACUUGGAUGUGGUCAAAGUCCGCUGUGGAAGUCAGUUUUCCAUUGCUUUGACGAAAAGUGGCCAAGUUUAUUCAUGGGGAAAAGGUGACAACCAGAGACUUGGACACAGAACAGAGGAAGAUGUUCGUUAUCCAAAACUCUUAGAAGGCUUGCAAGGGAAGAAGGUGAUUGAUAUGGCUGCAGGCUCCACCCACUGCCUGGCUCCGACUGAGGACAGCGAGGUCCACAGCUAGGGGAGCAAUGACCAGUGCCAGCACUUUGACACGUUGCGCGUGACCAAGCCAGAACCUGCGGCAUUGCCAGGACUGGACGCCAAACACAUAGUGGGAAUUACCUGUGGGCCGGCCCAGAGCUGUGCUUGGUCAUCGUGCUCUGAGUGGUCCAUUGGCCUCCGUGUCCCUUUUGGGGCAGAUAUUUGCUCAGUGACUUCUGAGCAGCUGGAUCUCCUGCUGCGGCAGGUGAGUGAGGGGAUGGACGGCUCCGUGGACUGGCCCCUGCCUCAGGAGAAAGAGUGCGUGGCCGUGGCAACACUGAAUCUUCCCCGACUUCAGUUGCAUGCUGCCAUUAGUCACCAGGUUGACCUGGAAUUCCUUGGUUUAGGUCUGGACAGCGUCCUCCUGAA